UUUUUUUUUUUUUUUAAAUCUCUUUAGCUAUCAGGCUGACAAACCCAAAGUCAUAUCAUAUUCUCUAUCUUACACCUCAGACACGGUGAUAAAGAUCUGCAAGAAAAGGCAGUGGCUGUGUGAGCACAGUGAGUGAAUAAUGCAUUUCUUUAGAACUCUUAUGAUUACUCUUCACCAAAUCACUGCACUCUGUGACACAGGUCUGUGACCACAGCCUUCCCAAGCACAGGCUGCUAAAGAGCUCUCACUUGGACGAGGUAAGCACGCAAGAUUGAUUCGUGCGAUGUCUUCACACUGUGCUCAGUACUUCACAUUAUGCUUUCAGAUGCACGGUGCUCUGUGUUUUCCUACGGCGAGAUCACUUUCUGAAUGAGUAAGGGAAAAAGAAAACGUGCCAGCAUCUGUUCUGUGUGCUUCCAAAGGUGCACUUAACAUUGAUCGAACAGAUUUUUAAGGAAGGACAUCCAGUGCUUUUCCCAACCCUGUCAAAGCACUGAGGGAGGCCGCCGUGAGGCUCAGUCCAUACCACGUUAUAUUGAGGCACACAGUUCUGAGCACCAGGGUUUAUGCUGCGAAGGCUACAGCCUCUCAUGGCAGCAACUUAGAGGGCAAUGCUAUGAUUUUAAUAAAGCUGUCAGAUUAAGUGACUGCGUGGUUACACUGUGAUAUUAAUACAUGUUCUUAACUGUCAAUUAGUUAACUGGCUAAUAAAAAGAGCCCAGCUUAUAGGAUUUUACUAAUGAAUAUAAUGCUUUGUUUCUGGGCAAAACAUAUGCUUUGGAUAUAUAAUUAGAAAGGCCCCCCCGCCCCCCAUCGAGAGAGCAUGUGCAGCUGAAUAAAGGAGCUCAUUAUACCUGUGAGGGGUCAAAGUCUGUGGAUCUGUAGCUUAUGGUAUUACGACAGAUUACAAAAUCACUCCAUUAUGUUAGUCAAUCUGUUUCCAAGCACAAACUAGCGGGGAGCAGGGCACUAGAAACUCCCAAGCACGGCGCCCGGUGGCUUUUCCCAAAGGUCUUAUGAUAGGUCAGCUGCCAGUGGCAUCACCUCUGACAGCUCACAUGUCAGACCUCUGCUAUAUGACUUCUGUCUUUGUUAUUGCAGAGCCUCUUCACCGGCAAUCAAUGCCUGCUUCAGGUUGCAAAGAGCUCCCGGUAAGAGCUGAAACAAAUUUGAAAUCCAUGGGUAGCCAUCAUUUGUGCUAAUGAAAGAAAAAAGCGGAGCACUUAUGCUCCAUCUGACCUCCCUCAGGCUCCCUCCUUAAUAAAAAAAAGGAAAGAAGAGAAAAAACGAGUUUUUAAGUAGAGAGGGAAGAGAACAGCUGAGCAGCAACAGCUGGGAGAGAAAGCAUCGGGUUCAGCAUCAGUGCGUUUCGGGGUUUGAAAAGAAAGAAAAAGUAAUUCACAUGCAGGAUAAAGAGAUUUCAGACAUGAUAGACAUCCUAAGAAAUAUUUGACUUUCCUAAUCUUUCAGGGAAAUUAUCCUGCUGGAAAGUCUUAUUCGGUCAGUUCAGCAUAAAACUCCCUGGUACCAAGAAGAAAGAAAAUCCUCUUGCCUUGGAGAAACGUGGGACUCACCAGCACUGCUCUGGGCUGCAGCUCUGUGAGGCGCCAUGGAGGAAGGCUGCUCCCACCUGGGCUCUGCUGGGCUGGCGUGAAGGAGGGGAGCAGCACUCAAUGGGGAGCACAAAGGGAAGCUUCUCCCCUCCCAUGAACCCCGGGAGCUGUGCAGCUGUCCUGUUGCAGGCACACAGCUGCCAGGAACUAGGCCGUGCUGGACACCCAACUCUGUGCACCCCGUGUGCUCCCUUCUCCCUGGCCUUGUGGCUCCUUGGUGGUUCCCAGCCCGUUCAUUUGUCUCAUUUCUUUGCAGACUGCACAGCUCACAGAAGCUCCUCUCUAAUACCCGGAGGCAGGACCCAGACAUGGUAGAAGUCACCCCAUAGCCCCUGAGAUGAGUAGGGUGACAUUGUCUUAUGCUGGGUGAUGGCCCGGGCCAUGUACUCAGAUGUGUUUGGCUAGCAGCCUGGGAGUUCUCGACUUUUAUAAGUCUCAACAAAAGGCGUUGAGAAGAGCUUUUGAUACAGUUAUUUGAUCAGAGAUCAAACGUUUCACCGUUGCAUUUAUCCUUUUCAUGUUUCCAGUAUGUAAGUUACUUAAAAAAAAACACUUACCCUGCAGGUGUUUGGGCACGUGCUCUGAGAAAUCUCUCUUUGGGACAACCGCAGAAGAGAAAUGGCAAAGGCUUCAGAAAUAACGACCAGGGACUGGCGCUGGCCCCGUGUGGUGCCUCCACAGGGAAAAUUAGUGGCAAGCCAGCAUCUCGGCCAGCACUCGCCAGCCUUCUCUUUACAUGCCUGUACCCUUCAUCCAGACAGACAUCCUGAAAGCGUCUUCAGGAUAUCUUUUCAGUGGAGCUCUGUGAAUUCAGACUGCUCUUCCAAGCAGGCUUUCAGAGCGCAUCUCCACCUCCAGAAAAAGCCACCUUGAAUCUCUUGACUCUUCCUUUGUCAGAUCACUUUGGAUUUCCCAGUUCACAGAAGAGACACACACACGUUCCAGUCAGAAACACAACCUCAGCUCGAUAACCUACUCCAGCACACUGCAAACACUCUACUUUUGAUAUUUUUCUCAUUUCUGUGUUUGACUAAUGGCUCUCAAUUCAGCACGCUUCUACAGUACUUGACACCAAGACCCAGGAAAGCUGCUGAAGUAUACACGUGUAACUCAUCCGUCUUGCAAAGAAAAAGAAUGGUAACGUUGUAUUGCAAACAGCAGCCCUGGAAAAUCCCUAACAAUUUUUCUUAGCUACAGAGAACACACAAAUGUCCUAAUAACUACAACCUGCUUCUUAACCAACAAGAAGGGGGCUGUCUAAUGCAGUCUUUCCAUGACAGAGGGAAAGAACAAAACAGUACCUGAAACCCACUGACUUUAGAGACUUCCAUCUGAGGACUGCCCCUGGAGAAAGAAGACAGGUAUGCAGAGCUUGAGCUGAAAGCUACAGAGCUUACAGUCUUCAGAUUUUGCGGGGCAUUACACCUAGGCAGGUGUGUGUUUUAUACUUUGGCUAGCCACGAGUGACACAAGUAUUUUAUAUUUCCCUGCCCUUUUCUGUAGACUGCUUUGCAAGUCGCCUGUCUUGUACCCCACCUAUCCCAGGGCUUCUCUGCUCAAAGCCAAGACACCUGCACCUUGCAGUGCACACUACCCGUAGCAAGUUGACUGCUGCUCUUCCAAAUAAGUAAAUACGAAGUGAAUGAAGUCCAAGGGAAUAUUCUGAUUGGCAGUGGCUGUUCUGUCCGUCUUAGCCUAGAUCAGUUUGACAUAAGCCAUUUAUUUCAUGGUUAACCCCAGAAAAGUCCUGCAAGGAAUAGAAAUGCAUGCAUUAAUCCUGCUUACCGGUUUGGUUCCACCUUGGGCUGGAUGAAGGAGCCGCUGCAACCCAAACUCAAAUUUAUUGCUCCAAAUACUGUAAAGAAAACAACACUCCCUUGUGAUCCUCACACAAACUCUUUAUUACGGAGGGAAGAAAGAGACAACACUGUAAAGAGCUGAGCACUACAACGAAACAUAAAGCAGCAUUAAAGUUGCUCUGUGCCUAAUGCUGUGGUUUAAGCAGCUAAUCUUGUUUUGGUUGAAUGGCAUGUUCAUUACAGCAAAUAAAUCAGCAACGUGUGGGAUUAUUGAAGAGGAAAGACAUAUUAAACCAGUUUAGGGCAUCAUAUUGAUUUUUUUUUUUUCCAAGUGUCUGAUUUAGCUUGGCGUUUUUCAACAGUCAGUUCUAAUAAAUGCUUGUAGAGCACAGAUUAAGCAGGUGGGAAUGCUGCCCAGAAAGAGUAUUAUGAAUAACUUAAGGCACUGGUUUAAUUGCAGCAAUCCAUGAUACUUACUGCGCUGGCACCAGAGUGGAAUUUUCAGUAUUAAAAGUUAAACUUCAACCCAA